rnacentral:misc_RNA from 1 species
GAUGAAGAACGUAGCGAAAUGCGAUAAGUAAUGUGAAUUGCAGAAUUCAGUGAAUCAUCGAAUCUUUGAACGCACAUUGCGCCCGGUAGUAUUCUGCCGGGCAUGCCUGUUCGAGCGUCAUUUCAACCAUCAAGCCCCAGCGCUUGUGUUGGGGGCCUGCGGCUGCCGCAGCCCCCUAAAAGCAGUGGCGGGCUCGCUAUCACACCGAGUGCAGUAGUUCAUCAUCUCUCCGGUCUUGUGAGGCGGGUUCCGGCCGUGAAACACCCCACUACAUUCAAGGUUGACCUCGGAUCAGGUAGGAAUACCCGCUGAACUUAAGCAUAUCAAUAAGCGGAGGA